rnacentral:rRNA from 1 species
AUUGAACGCUGGCGGCAGGCCUAACACAUGCAAGUCGAGCGGAUGAAGGGAGCUUGCUCCUGGAUUCAGCGGCGGACGGGUGAGUAAUGCCUAGGAAUCUGCCUGGUAGUUGGGGAUAACGUCCGGAAACGGGCGCUAAUACCGCAUACGUCCUGAGUGAGAAAGUGGGGGAUCUUCGGACAUCACGCUAUCAGAUGAGCCUAGGUCGGAUUAGCUAGUUGGUGGGGUAAAGGCCUACCAAGGCGACGAUCCGUAACUGGUCUGAGAGGAUGAUCAGUCACACUGGAACUGAGACACGGUCCAGACUCCUACGGGAGGCAGCAGUGGGGAAUAUUGGACAAUGGGCGAAAGCCUGAUCCAGCCAUGCCGCGUGUGUGAAGAAGGUCUUCGGAUUGUAAAGCACUUUAAGUUGGGAGGAAGGGCAGUAAGUUAAUACCUUGCUGUUUUGACGUUACCAACAGAAUAAGCACCGGCUAACUUCGUG